UGGUGUUCCAGCCACUUUCCGAAAAGUCAUGGCCUUUGCAGGCUUUUUGUGCACUACUCCGUAAGAGCCCAGGACUGUGGGGACCUGGGUGAGAGUGGAGCUCUUUGACUGGGCUUUCCAUCUCUGUGGGCGUUGACUCUGGACCAAGCCUCCUAGGCAUUGGGGAACAUGGCAGAUGCAGCUUCCUGCUCUCAUGGAGUUUCUAGUCGCUUGGUGAAGACAAGCUUCAGAGAGGCAGGCAUGAUGAUAGGGUCACCUCUCUGCCAGAGACCAUUGUUACUUUUGCUAGAAUUUGGUUAUGGUUUGAGUGUCAGUUUCGUUUGCUGGAAUCUUGGUUCCCAGCAUGGCAGCGCUGAGAGCGGUGGACUCUUGAAGAGGUUUUUGUCAUGAUGACUUCUGCCGUGGAGAGAUGUAGGGAGGAAGAUUUCAUGAGAACUGAGCUGCUGCAAUGUUCUUGGAUCUUUAACACUGUGUGCUAAUAAGACCUUUAUCUAUAAAGUGACCAGACUCAAGUCUUUUGUUAUAGCAACAGAAAGUGGAAUAAUACAGCUUCCAAUCUAGACAACUUCACAAUUCUCCCAUUAUUUCUUCUUAUGUAUGGUCUUCAUACCGUUGAAUUUCAAAAACCAUAUGUUAGGUGUUGCAGGAUAUUUGGUCCCAUUGUGAACCCCAAAAUUGUGAACUGUAAAACUCUGUUUCUUGUUUGGUGUGGUUGAGUCCUACCUCACACCUUUAAUCCAAGAAAUUUAUGUUUAUUGUAAACAGGUGAUUAUGGUUUAGCUCAGCCCUAGCACACAUCUUUUAUCAUAUUCUAUCCUAUUCUGUACACAGGAUCUAAUACAGUUAACACUAGGUCAAGAGGCAGAGCAAGAAACCAGCUGACAGGGAUUAAAGAGCAGGAGGGACUUUGAGUUGAAGGGUAUUUAAGACAGCAUGUAUAAGUAGAAGGGGUUUUAGCUUAGGUUUUAGCUCUCUAGCUCUGUGGCUUUUGGGGCCUUUUGGGCUUUGAGCUAUCAAACCUCUGGCCUUGGGUUCUUUGGCCUUUUCUUCCUGGGCCAUCAGCUUUUGGGUUUUUUUUCCAUCCAGACCUGAGCUGAGAAGGAAGGUCAGCUGGAUGCUUUCUCUGACUCUCUGAGCUAGCAGGU